GCCUGUGGAAGGAAGUGAAUGAUGUGUAGGAAGUUAAGGCCAAAUUUACAAUUGCCUGGGGAGGGAGAGAAGACAACCUGAGUCUUCACAGGAAGAAUGGACAAGGUCCUGGGAGCAUUAUUGUUGGUUCUAUGGCUUCAGUCAGACUGUGAGUUAUGGAAGGGAAAUUUGAAUAUAGUAGAAAAACUCCAAGAUCCACUACAAGGGUGGGAGAUGAGAUAACUGGAGGUGCUUCCUUUUUUUUGACUCAUGUGGGUUUUCGGUGGGGACUUGAAGAAUAAAAUUUUAAAUCUGUUACUUUCUUUCCAAUCAGGGGCCAAUAGUCAACCAAAGGAGAAGGAUGACCAGCAGGUUAAGCAAAAUCCUCCAUCCCUGAAGACCCAGGAAGGAGAAAUUUCCAUUUUGAACUGUGAUUACAAUAAUGAUCUGUUUGCUUACUUCGUAUGGUACAAAAAAUCCCCUGCUAAAGGCCCUGCUCCCCUGAUAUCUGUAAGUCCAGGUGUGGAUGGAAAUGAAGAGGGAAGAUUCACAGUCUUCCUCAAUAAAAGUGCCAAACACCUCUCUCUGCGUAUUGCGGCCUCCCAGCCUGGAGACUCAGCCACCUACUUCUGCGCAGCAAGUGCACAGUGCUCUGCAGGCACCUGCAGCCUGUACUUAAACCUGCAGGUGUUACUGGUGAUGCUAAAACCACACAGCCAAAUUCAAUGGAGAGUACUGAAGGAGAACCCGUAAACUUGCCUUGUAACCACUCUGCAAUCAGUGGAAAUGAGUACAUAUAUUGGUAUUGACAGAUUCCCCACCAGGGUCCAGAGUACUUGAUUCAUGGCUUAAAUAACAACCAGACCAA